rnacentral:lncRNA from 1 species
UGUGGCUGACCCUGAGGUGUUAUGAGUUUCUUCACAGCCCUACUUCCUCUCUCUUCUCCCUCAUUUUCAGACCCUUCUUCAGCAUCUUCCCUGGGCAUUGCUGUGAGUUUAGGCCGGCCCGUUUUGAGCAGGAGCAGCAGCGGAACAGUAGACCUGCUGGAGGAAGUGGGGCUGCAGAUCAGAGACACAGCAUUUUCGUCAACCAAACUUCUUGAAGCCAUAUCUACAGUAUCAGCUCAAGUGGAAGAGCUUGCCGUCAAAUGUACGGAAAAUGCACGUUUCCUUAAAACAUGACGGGACCUCUUGAAAGAAUGCUGUGAUUCUUGGAAACCUGACA